GGAAGACUCUUUUCAUUUGUAGACGCCGUCUGCCAUACCCACACUAAAAGAUUUCCCGUCCCCUCCCCCGAUGCGCAAUUAGUAGUCUACAUGCGUUGCCUCUCCAGCUUCGAUUUGGACGGUGUCUGUCUGUCUGUACCAAGAUUUGGGCGCCCUUUUGCAGUCAGCGAUACAAGGCAAUACAAAAGCGGUCAUGACUUUUCGCACGUGCCCUGUGUUUACGAUAAUGUUGAAAGCUUCUUCUUCGAUUUAUACCGCGAAUACGAUGGCGAAAUCAAAUAAUCAUUUGCAAUGUCCAGUACAGAAAGACUAUGACUGCAAAUCAUUGCCCAAGAAAUAAAACAAAAUUGAUUGAAUUUAACUUAGGAAAACACAGCCACGGAGGUGACACAGAGAUUCUUUAUAAAUCAGUAGGCUCCAGUGAAUACUGCAGUGUACUUACAUGCAGAAGCUAUUGUUAGGGAGAAGCAAGAGAUCAUAAAUUCUGUUUAGUACACUAUAUGUUAACACAUGAGCAGUAAUCAUUUCAGUAGCUAUUUUCAUUG